rnacentral:rRNA from 1 species
GCAUGAAGUCGGAAUUGCUAGUAAUCGCGGAUCAGCAUGCCGCGGUGAAUACGUUCCCGGGCCUUGUACACACCGCCCGUCACACCAUGAGAGCCGGUAACACCCGAAGUCAGUAGUCUAACCGCAAGGGGGACGCUGCCGAAGGUGGGGCUGGUGAUUGGGGUGAAGUCGUAACAAGGUAAC